AUGUUUAAGACAAUACUUGUGUUCAUUCUAUUGUUUACAGGAUAUCCUUGUAAUUCUGCGUAUGAAAACAAAACAGGUGAUAUUACACCUUCAAAGAGAGAUUAUGAAAAUACCCUAAAUUCUUCACUAGAUCUUGCAACUGGAACACAGGACCGUGAUCAUGUUGCAGGAAGAAGUCUGCCAACUCUAGUAGUGGCAGGAGUCAGCAUUGCCCUUGUGUUGCUCUGUGUUCUUAUCGUUUCUGUUUUUUGGUAUGCAUGGAAAAAAUCACAGGAAGGUUCAAUUGAACUCAAUCCUAUCCCCUACGGUGAGGCUGAAGUGUCCUUACGAAGCGUUUCGAUGCCUGAGAACCAAAAGGAGUGGCCUUUUGAGAGAGCAGUGCAGUGACAGCAGGAGAGCUGCUGCAUAACCCUCUGGGAAAAAAGAAAAGCCCUCUCAAUUGUAGAUAGUUGAACAGCACGCUCAAAAGAGCUGUAUCUGCAAAAAAAGUUACAUUCUUGAAGUAAUAAAUGUCCUUGUUAGGGAAAAUGUCA
rnacentral:lncRNA from 1 species